CAACAUCAACAGCCACAUUCAUCUUCUUCUCUACUGUUUCAACUCCACUUCCAAUCGGCCACAACGACGACGGCGUCUCGAUGGCGCGCUGCCACCGGUAAGAGAUGUUCCCCUUCUUUGUUUCUUUUGGUUUUAAAGAACAAGAAAGAAAAUAAAGAAAACGAAGACAGUAAAAAAGAAAAAAUGGAACCCCCUGAUUACCUUCAAAAUUGCUUUUUAUAUUUUUUUUUUCUUUCAAAUAUAUCUGUAUACAAUCUUUUGCCCCCCCUUUUACAGAUUCUUAUUUGGUUUUAAUAGCCGAAAUAAGAGAGCCAAAAAAACUCCCAAAAAACUGCUGCUCCCUUUUUUAUAGUUUUCCUUACAUUUUUCUACUAUUGUUCGUGGUUGUAGUUUGUUGUUUGCUGCAGGAAGAACGUGCUGGAGCGCGAGGCAACGUGCGACGUGCAAGGACGACGUGGGGCAAGCAGUCUCAGCUAUCUGCUGCUUAGGGUUUUUGUGACUUUAGGCCACUUGAGCCCUGUAAUUGGGUCAAGCUUGGCCCAAGUUUUAUUGGGUUUAAUUGUAUUUAAUUUGGGCUAUGUUAAUGAUUUUGGGUUGGUCUUAUUUUGAAUGGGCCGGCAAAAAUGGGCUAUUACAAUUACGUUUUAGUCAUUUACGUGAUCAUGUUGUAACAUUUUAGUCACUGAGCCAUUAAUCAUCGUUAAUGGUGUAACGGUAAGCUGACGUGGCACGUUAAAUCAUCAUUUCAAACAAAAUUUUAGGUUAAAUUAUACAAUUAAUUCCCAUAUUUUUUUCAUGUUAAGUAAUUUAUUUUUUUUAUUUUAUGUUCUUUAAACUUUCCUCUUUUUUUUCAUUCUCUUUUGUUUCUCCCUCUUUUUUCAUAUCUUUCCCAUUUCUUUUAACAUAUUAGGAAGUCGAAUUGGCAAUGAAAAAAAAAGUAGGAAAUCGAUUAUCAUCAUUUGCCUAUAACAAAAACCCUAUAACCAAAACCCAUAAACCCAUAUCAUGCUUCUUUCUUCACUACCAAUUCGACUUCCUAGUAUGUUAAAAUAAAUAAAGAAGGUAGGAAAACAGAGAGAGAAG
rnacentral:lncRNA from 1 species